UAGCCUACGGGAGGCAGCAGUAGGGAAUCUUCCACAAUGGACGAAAGUCUGAUGGAGCAACGCCGCGUGAGUGAAGAAGGGUUUCGGCUCGUAAAGCUCUGUUGAAGGGGAAAAAGAGCGGAGAGAGGAAAUGAACUCCGAUUGAUAUUACCCUUCGAGGAAGUCACGGCUAACUACGUGCCAGCAGCCGCGGGAAUACGUAGGGUGCGAGCGUUAAUCGGAAUUACUGGGUGUAAAGGGUGCGCAGGCGGUUG
rnacentral:rRNA from 1 species